rnacentral:misc_RNA from 1 species
AAACUGCGAAAAGUAAUGUGAACUGCAUACUUUGUGAAUCAUCGAAUCUUCGAAUGCACAUUGCGCCACUUGACCCUGUCACUUGGCAUGCUUGUUUGAGUAUCACGCAACCGAUGCUUGCUCCCUUGCGGGGCAGCGACUUGAGAUCCAGAUGCUCGCGCAUUUGCUUCUUCAAAGACCUGGCGAGGCGAGGCUUAUUCAGUUUGAGCCGCACUGAGGGUCCCGUAGCACUUUUUUGGAUAACUCUGCAAAAGGUAUGCGGGGCGUGUAAGGAGCCCGUCGAAACAGGCAAAAAUCCAAUGGUUCAUCCAUUGGAUUUAUGCCAUGCGCCAAUUCAUUGACUUGAAUUACGCUGCAUGGAUCUCAAAUCAAGCAAGACUACCCGCUGAACUUAA